UUUCAUUCCAAUUUAGUGUAUCUUUUAAAGGCCCCGUGUGUGUCCUUCCCUUUCCCCUCUCUUUGUAUGUCUCCUACAUCCUCUCAACCCCUUGCUCCACCCCAGCCCCUUUGUUUUUUUCUUUUCUUUCCAGCUCUUUGUGUGUGUCUUUCCCCCCCACCCCCCAGCCUAUCUGUGUGUCUUUCUCCUACCCAGGCCCCUCUGUGUGUCUCCCUCUCGAGUCCCUCUGUGUGUCUCUUUUUCCCCUACCAACCUCUUUGUGCUUCUCUUUCACCUCUUCCUCUCUGCGUGUCACGUCCAACCGCCCGGCCCUUAAUGAUCUCUUUCACCCUUCAUCCCCACCCCCCACCCCUCUGCUCUCCCC